UACAGAGGGGGCUAGCGUUGUUCGGAAUUACUGGGCGUAAAGGGCGCGUAGGUGGCCUGCUAAGUCGAACGUGAAAUCCCCGGGCUCAACCCGGGAACUGCGUCCGAGACUGGCAGGCUUGAAUCCGGGAGAGGGAUGUGGAAUUCCAGGUGUAGCGGUGAAAUGCGUAGAUAUUGGGAGGAACACCGGUGGCGAAGGCGGCUACCUGGACCGGUUCUGACGCUGAUGCGCGAAAGCGUGGGGAGCGAACGAGG
rnacentral:rRNA from 1 species